AGUCACUGACAUUAGAUACCCGUGUAGUCCAGGGUGUAAACGCUGCCGACUUGGGUGUUUGGAGGCCCUUCGGGGGCAUUCAGUGCCGGAGAGAAGUUGUUAAGUCGGCCACUUGGGGAGUACGUCCGCAAGGAUGAAACUUAAAGGAAUUGGCGGGGGAGCACCGCAACGGGAGGAGCGUGCGGUUUAAUUGGAUUCAACACCGGAAAACUCACCAAGGGCGGCUGUUACAUGAAAGCCAGGCUAAUGACCUUGCUUGAUUUUCAG
rnacentral:rRNA from 1 species